AACGAACGCUGGCGGCAUGCCUAACACAUGCAAGUCGAACGAGACCUUCGGGUCUAGUGGCGCACGGGUGCGUAACGCGUGGGAACCUGCCUUUAGGUUCGGAAUAACUCAGAGAAAUUUGAGCUAAUACCGGAUAAUGUCUUCGGACCAAAGAUUUAUCGCCUUUAGAUGGGCCCNCGUUGGAUUAGCUAGUUGGUGGGGUAAAGCCUACCAAGGCGACGAUCCAUAGCUGGUCUGAGAGGAUGAUCAGCCACACUGGGACUGAGACACGGCCCAGACUCCUACGGGAGGCAGCAGUGGGGAAUAUUGGGCAAUGGGCGAAAGCCUGAUCCAGCAAUGCCGCGUGAGUGAUGAAGGCCUUA
rnacentral:rRNA from 1 species